rnacentral:rRNA from 1 species
CAGCCGCCGCGGUAAUACGUAGGGUGCAAGCGUUAAUCGGAAUUACUGGGCGUAAAGCGUGCGCAGGCGGUUUUGUAAGACAGAGGUGAAAUCCCCGGGCUCAACCUGGGAACUGCCUUUGUGACUGCAAGGCUAGAGUACGGCAGAGGGGGAUGGAAUUCCGCGUGUAGCAGUGAAAUGCGUAGAUAUGCGGAGGAACACCGAUGGCGAAGGCAAUCCCCUGGGCCUGUACUGACGCUCAUGCACGAAAGCGUGGGGAGCAAACAGGAUUAGAUACCCGAGUAGUCCCUGUCUCUUAUAA